rnacentral:tRNA from 1 species
GCCGGGGUGGCGGAAUUGGUAGACGCAGUGGAUUCAAAAUCCACCGGUAGCAAUAUCAUGCGGGUUCAAGUCCCGCCCCCGGUACCA